CCUGGUAGCUCAGAUGGUAAAGAAUCUGCCUGCAAUGCAGGAGACCCAGGUUCGAUCCCUGGGUCAGGA
rnacentral:tRNA from 1 species